CUCAACUUUUUUAGAAGAGAUGCAUUUAUUAGAUAAAAAACCAAUACAUGCUUUUAAAGUAUGGAAUUUGGUGAUUUACAAUAACUUAGCAAAUCGCAUAGUGAAAACAGGCGAUAAAUCAUUCAAGUUUCUGACCUAUCAGCUUUCGACGGUAUGGUAUUGGCUUACCGUGGCAGUGACGGUUAACGGGGGAUUAGGGUUCGAUUCCGGAGAGGGAGCCUGAGAAACGGCUACCACAUCUAAGGAAGGCAGCAGGCGCGCAAAUUACCCAAUUCUAACAGCAUAAGAGAGGUAGUGACAAGAAAUAACAAUACAAGGCAGUUAAAAUGCUUUGUAAUUGGAAUGAUAGAAAUUUAAACACUUUUUAAAGUAUCAAUUGGAGGGCAAGUCUGGUGCCAGCAGCCGCGGUAAUUCCAGCUCCAAUAGCGUAUAUUAAAAUUGUUGCAGUUAAAAAGCUCGUAGUUGAAUUUCUGCUAAAAAUAACCGGUCUGCUUUUAAUAAAGGUGGUAUCUUGGUGUGUUUUUAGCAAUAAUGUCCUUUGAAAUGUUUUUUACUUCAUUGUAAUAAAUUAUUUUCAGGAUUUUUACUUUGAGAAAAUUAGAGUGUUUCUAGCAGGCUAACGCUUUGAAUACUGCAGCAUG
rnacentral:rRNA from 1 species